GAUGAACGCUGGCGGCGUGCUUAACACAUGCAAGUCGAACGUGAGGGUGCAGCGAUGUGCCUGAAAGUGGCGAACGGGUGAGUAACACGUAGAUGACCUGCCCUGGAGUGGGGGAUAACCAUUGGGAAACGGUGGCUAAUACCGCAUACAUCCGGAGAACUGGGAAGUUUUCUGGGGAAAGCUCUGGUGCUUCAGGAGGGUCUGCGUCCGAUUAGCUAGUUGGUGGGGUAAAGGCUCACCAAGGCGACGAUCGGUAGCUGGUCUGAGAGGACGAUCAGCCACACGGGAACUGAGACACGGUCCCGACUCCUACGGGGGGCAGCAGUGAGGAAUAUUGGGCAAUGGGCGGAAGCCUGACCCAGCAACGCCGCGUGGAGGAAGAC
rnacentral:rRNA from 1 species